CAGCACCUCAAGUGGUCAGGAUGAUUAUUGGGCCUAAAGCAUCCGUAGCCGGCGCUGUAAGUUUUCGGUUAAAUCUGUACGCUCAACGUACAGGCUGCCGGGAAUACUGCAGCGCUAGGGAGUGGGAGAGGUAGACGGUACUCGGUAGGAAGGGGUAAAAUCCUUUGAUCUAUUGAUGACCACCUGUGGCGAAGGCGGUCUACCAGAACACGUCCGACGGUGAGGGAUGAAGGCUGGGGGAGCAAACCGGAUUAGAUACCCGUGUAGUCC
rnacentral:rRNA from 1 species